rnacentral:rRNA from 1 species
UACGGAGGAUGCGAGCGUUAUCCGGAUUUAUUAGGUAUAAAGGGUGCGUAGGCGGACCAGUUAGUCAGUGGUGAAAUACUAGGGCUUAACCCUAGAACUGCCAUUGAUACUGCUGGUCUUGAGUACAAUUGAGGUAGGCGGAAUGUGUGGUGUAGCGGUGAAAUGCUUAGAUAUCACACAGAACACCGAUUGCGAAGGCAGCUUACUAAGCUGUAACUGACGCUGAUGCACGAAAGCAUGGGGAGCAAACAGG